GUUGAUGAUACAAAAUAAACGUAGGAGUACACUCAAAUAGAAAAAGCCGGUGCAAUACUCUGAAACUAAUCGCUCCUCGCUUGCAUUCACUGGUUUAUUGGAGCAAUUGUAAAGUCUUGAAACUCUAUUAUCUCCCCUGAAUAGAGUUUGCAGUGCCUUGUCAUGCAAAUAGCUUGCUUGCAAGGAACGUUUGGAAUUUUUAUGAACAUUAUUUUUAGUUUUUAAUUCUUUUAGGAAAUAGACUUGCCUAGAUUUAAUCUUUACGCCCCAAAUAUUAUUUACAUCGGAGUUGCAUCAUAAAUUGUACUCGGAUUCAAACGACACAAUGUCAAUGACUUUAUAAAAAUAAAAGCAUAUUGUGUAUUGGCCUAUUGGGUUCACACUUUUACAGGUUCAUUUCACUUUAACUCUCUCAAGUCUCAACAGACAAUAGACAAUCGGACAUGCCAAAUCCAUUGAUAUGACAACUUCAAAAAACUUUUUCCUGGCAUACUUUGUUUUCUGCUCUCUAGACUCCCCCUCGCGGCUCUAUAGUGCUCCACCUCUAGAAUAUAGACCUUACUGGGGUUUGCUGACACUUUGUGUUGCUUCAGUCACCUGCUCACGGCUCACCCCACUAAAAUUUCUGGCACCACCCCCAGUAAAAAAUAUGAAAAUCCAUCUAUGUGCUGCUGUAUUUCUUGCUUUUGUGUGGAAAAAAUGCAAUAACUAUAAUUAAAACUUGAAAAGUGUU